CACAGUACUGCUGCUGUUAAGGAGUUGGACCUGCUGUCCCUCAGUACCUACCAAACGUUUGGGAGGCUGUCUGACUAAAAGGACCAGCUCCCAAGUUCAAGAGCAUUUUAGCUGCUCAUCUGCAAUAAAACUCCUUAGAGGAAAAGGGAAACUUUGAGCCAUGCUCAUUUCUCCUGUGACUAAAUAUCUUGGUUGUCUUUAGAAACUUCUUGGGAGGAAAAAGGGAAAGGCAGUUUUCUUUACAGGCAUGUCAGAAUACCUGCCCAGCACCUUCGAAACCUGAAUUAAAGAUGCAUGACAGGCCAUGAAUGUUUUGGAAGGGAAGGAGACAGAAGUGUAUAGAAAGGAAAGAAGAUAUAUCCAAGUAAUAUGCAUGUUACUUUGAAGUUGUUGUAACUAGUGAAAGGGUGCUGACUGACUUUUAAUGAUAUCGGAAGUCCUGUAAGCCAAUUUAGCCUGCUUUCUAUACAGUUGAAAUGCUCUCAGCCACUUUUCCCUCUAUUACAGGAGAAGGCUAUUGGUCGCAUUCAAGAUCAUGGCUAUUCUGUACUGGAUUCCCCCAAGGCAAACCAGUCAUUUUCAAAAGUGGAUAAGCCACUGACUAAAGAACAAGAGGAAGACAAAGUGUCCAAAAAGGGCAACAGGAAAGCCAAACAAACAUCUGAAAAGCCUCCACAUCGCAGAGCUGAGGGCAGAAGCAAACAGAGAAGUAGCUCAAUAACUAUUAAGGAGAGCAAGGUGAGUGUUAUAUGCUCUAAAAUCUUCCAGUGGCCUUACUGCCAGUUGCUGAAGCAGCUGUCACAGCAUUGACACGAAUCCAAACUGUGUAAAUGUCGGGUGAAAACACUGUCUGCACCCUCCCUGGCACCCAACACACUCAUAUUUAUCUCACAUUUUGCUUCCAUCAUAGGUAUGUUUUGAGUUUAUGGUCCAGCAGUUAACUCUUUGCAGUUUUAGGAGUUAUGACAUGAAUGUUAACCAGUUACAGGACUACAGCACUAUGAUUUUUUCUUUUGUUUACUCUUCUAAUUACAGUUACUCACUGCUUUCAAGUUAAGAUACCCAAUUUAAAAUAUUGGUCAAUUUGAAGUAAUCCCCCAAUAAAAAAAAUUACAUGCUGAUGUUAAAUUCCUUU
rnacentral:lncRNA from 1 species